GACGACGCUGGCGGCGUGCUUAACACAUGCAAGUCGAACGAGUGGCGAACGGGUGAGUAAUGUCUGGGAAACUGCCUGAUGGAGGGGGAUAACUACUGGAAACGGUAGCUAAUACCGCAUACCAUCGGAUGUGCCCAGAUGGGAUUAGCUAGUAGGGGGGGUAAAGGCUCACCUAGGCGACGAUCCCUAUCUGGUAUGGUAGGAGUACCAGCCCCACUGGAACUGAGACACGGUCCAGACUCCGACGGGAGGCAGCAGGGGGGACUAUUGCACAAUGGGCGCAAGCCUGAUGCAGCCAUGCCGCGUGUAUGAAGAAGGCCUUCGGGUUGUAAAGUACUUUCAGCGGGGAGGCGUUACCCGCAGAAGAAGCACCGGCUAACUCCGCGCCAGCAGCCGCGGUAAUAC
rnacentral:rRNA from 1 species